rnacentral:rRNA from 1 species
AGAGUUUGAUCCUGGCUCAGAUUGAACGCUGGCGGUAUGCUUAACACAUGCAAGUCGAACGGAAACGAUACUAGCUUGCUAGUAGGCGUCGAGUGGCGGACGGGUGAGUAACGCGUAGGAAUCUGCCUGAUAGUGGGGGAUAGCCCGAAGAAAUUCGGAUUAAUACCGCAUAAUCUAUUCGUAGUAAAGUGGGGGACUUUCGAGCCUCACGCUAUCAGAUGAGCCUGCGUAAGAUUAGCUAGUUGGUAGGGUAAAAGCCUACCAAGGCUACGAUCUUUAGCUGGUCUGAGAGGAUGAUCAGCCACAUCGGGACUGAGACACGGCCCGAACUCCUACGGGAGGCAGCAGUGGGGAAUAUUGGACAAUGGGGGCAACCCUGAUCCAGCAAUACCGCGUGUGUGAAGAAGGCCUGAGGGUUGUAAAGCACUUUCAAUUGUGAAGAAAAGUUAACGGUUAAUAACCGUUAGCCUUGACGUUAACUUUAGAAGAAGCACCGGCUAACUCCGUGCCAGCAGCCGCGGUAAUACGGAGGGUGCAAGCGUUAAUCGGAAUUACUGGGCGUAAAGCGUGCGUAGGCGGUUUAUUAAGUCAGAUGUGAAAGCCCCGGGCUUAACCUGGGAACUGCAUUUGAAACUGGUCAACUAGAGUAUGGUAGAGGAAAGUGGAAUUUCUGGUGUAGCGGUGAAAUGCGUAGAUAUCAGAAGGAACAUCAAUGGCGAAGGCAGCUUUCUGGACCAAUACUGACGCUGAGGUACGAAAGCGUGGGUAGCAAACAGGAUUAGAUACCCUGGUAGUCCACGCCGUAAACGAUGAUAACUAGCCGUUGGGGGGAUUUACCCUUUAGUGGCGAAGCUAACGCGUUAAGUUAUCCGCCUGGGGAGUACGGCCGCAAGGUUAAAACUCAAAGGAAUUGACGGGGACCCGCACAAGCGGUGGAGCAUGUGGUUUAAUUCGAUGAUACGCGAGGAACCUUACCAAGGCUUAAAUGUAGAUUGACAGAUUGUGAAAACAGUUUUUCUUCGGACAAUUUACAAGGUGCUGCAUGGUUGUCGUCAGCUCGUGCCGUGAGGUGUCGGGUUAAGUCCCAUAACGAGCGCAACCCCUAUUUUUAGUUGCCAGCGAGUAAUGUCGGGAACUCUAGAAAGACUGCCUGUGUAAACAGUGAGGAAGGUGGGGAUGACGUCAAAUCAUCACGGCCCUUAUGUCUUGGGCUACACACGUGUUACAAUGGUUACUACAGUGGGCUGCCAUCUGGCAACAGAGAGCAAAUCCAUAAAGGUAAUCCCAGUUCGGAUCGGAGUCUGCAACUCGACUCUGUGAAGUUGGAUUCGCUAGUAAUCGUAUAUCAGCAAUGAUACGGUGAAUACGUUCCCGGGCCUUGUACACACCGCCCGUCAAGCCAUGGAAGUUUGUGGUGCCUGAAGUCAGUAACCGUAAGGAUCUGCCUAGGGUAAAACAGAUAACUAGGGCUAAGUCGUAACAAGGUAACC